UACGAGGGGGGGCGAGCGUUGUUCGGAAUUAUUGGGCGUAAAGGGUGCGUAGGCGGUUUGGUAAGUCUCGUGUGAAAUCUCCGGGCUCAACUCGGAGCCUGCACGAGAAACUGCCGGGCUUGAGUGUGGGAGAGGUGAGUGGAAUUCCUGGUGUAGCGGUGAAAUGCGUAGAUAUCAGGAGGAACACCUGUGGCGAAAGCGGCUCACUGGACCAUAACUGACGCUGAUGCACGAAAGCUAGGGGAGCAAACAGG
rnacentral:rRNA from 1 species